AAACCGAUGCAAACUCCGAAUACAUAUGAGUACUAUCCGGGAGACAGACUGCGGGUGCUAACGUCCGUAGUCAAGAGGAAAACAAUCCAGACCGCCAGCUAAGGCCCCAAAAUCAUAGUUAAGUGGGAAACGAUGUGGGAAGGCAUAGACAGCUAGGAGGUUGGCUUAGAAGCAGCCACCCUUUAAAGAAAGCGUAAUAGCUCACUAGUCGAGUCGGCCUGCGCGGAAGAUGUAACGGGGCUAAAACUAUGUGCCGAAGCUGCGGAUUUACGCUUAUGCGUAAGUGGUAGGGGAGCGUUCUGUAAGCCGAUGAAGGUGUAUUGAGAAGUAUGCUGGAGGUAUCAGAAGUGCGAAUGCUGACAUGAGUAACGAUAAGGGGAGUGAAAAACUUCCCCGCCGAAAGACCAAGGGUUCCUAUCCCAUGCUAAUCAGGGUAGGGUGAGUCGGCCCCUAAGGCGAGACCGAAAGGUGUAGUCGAUGGGAAAC
rnacentral:rRNA from 13 species